AGGGUGUUGUUUGGGGUGUUGGGGUGUUCCUAUGGGUGCUGGGGUGUUCCUAUGGGUGUUGGGGUGUUCCUAUGGGUGCUGGGGUGUUGUUUGGGGUGCUGGGGUGUUCCUAUGGGUGCUCAGGGUGUUAUUGGGGUGCUGAGGUGUUCCUAUGGGUGCUCAGGGUGUUGUUGGGGGUGCCGGGGUGUUCCUAUGGGUGUUGGGGUGUUCCUAUGGGUGCUCAGGGUGUUAUUGGGGUGCUGAGGUGUUCCUAUGGGUGCUGGGGGGGUUGUUUGGGGUGCUGGGGUGUUCCUAUGGGUGUUGGGGUGUUCCUAUGGGUGCUCAGGGUGUUAUUGGGGGUGCUGGGGUGUUCCUAUGGGUGCUCAGGGUGAUGUUUGGGGUGCUGGGUGUUCCUAUGGGUGCUGGGUGUUCCUAUGGGUGCUGGGUGUUCCUAUGGGUGCUGGGUGUUCCUAUGGGUGCUGGGUGUUCCUAUGGGUGCUGGUUGUUCCUAUGGGUGCUGGGUUGUUCCUAUGGGUGUUGGGGUGUUCCUAUGGGUGCUGGGGUGUUCCUAUGGGUGCUCAGGGUGUUAUUGGGAUGCUGGGGUGUUCCUAUGGGUGUUGGGGUGUUCCUAUGGGUGCUGGGUGUUGUUUGGGGUGCUGGGUGUUCCUAUGGGUGCUGGGUGUUGUUGGGGCCUGCUGGGUGUUGUUGUGGGUGUUGGGGCCUUGUUGCUUGGGCUGUUGCUAUGGGUGUUGGGCUGUUCCUAUGGGUGUUGCGCUGUUCCUAUGGGUGCUGGGGUGUUGUUGGGGGUGUUGGGGUAUUCCUAUGGGUGCUCAGGGUGUUAUUUGGGGUGCUGGGGUGUUCCUAUGGGUAUUGGGGUGUUCCUAUGGGUCCUCAGGGUGUUGCUAUGGGUGCUGGGCUGUUGUUCGGGGUGUUGGGGUGUUAUUUGGGGUGCUGGGUGUUCCUAUGGGUGCUGGGCUGUUGGUGGGGCCUGGUGGGUGUUGUUGUGGGUGUCGGGGCCUUGUUGCUUGGGCUGUUGCUAUGGGUGUUGGGCUGUUCCUAUGGGUGCUGGGCUGUUGUUUGGGGUGCUGGGCUGUUCCUAUGGGUGCUGGGUGUUCCUAUGGGUGCUGUUGGGUGUUGUUGGGGCCUGCUGGGUGUUGUUGUGGGUGUCGGGGCCUUGUUGCUUGGGCUGUUGCUAUGGGUGUUGGGCUGUUCUUUGGGGUGCUGGGGUGUUCGUAUGGGUGUUGGGGUGUGGUUGGGGUGUUGGGGUGUUGUUUGGGGUGUUGCUAUGGGUGCUGGGGGGGUUGAUAGGGGUGCUGGGGUGUUCCUAUGGGUGCUGGGGUGUUGUUGGGGGUAUUGGGUGCUGUUGUUGGGGGGUGUUGGGUGUUGUUGGGGUGUUGUUGUUAUGGGUAUUGUUGCUAUGGGUACUGGGCUGUUGUUAGGGGUUCUGGGGUGUUGUUGC
rnacentral:lncRNA from 1 species